ACCAGGUGGGAGACAGGUAAGGACCAGAUGAGAGACAGGUAAGGACCAGGUGGGAGACGGGUAAGGGUCAGGUGGGAGACAGGUAAAGGUCAGGUGGGAGACAGGUAAGGACCAGGUGGGAGACAGGUAACGACCAGGUGGGAGACAGGUAAGGACCAGGUGGGAGACAGGUAAGGACCAGAUGAGAGACAGGUAAGGACCAGGUGGGAGACGGGUAAGGGUCAGGUGGGAGACAGGUAAAGGUCAGGUGGGAGACAGGUAAGGACCAGGUGGGAGACAGGUAACGACCAGGUGGGAGACAGGUAAGGACCAGGUGGGAGACAGGUAAGGACCAGGUGAGACCACAUGAUGAACAGGAACCUUUCCCAGCAGUUCUCCCAGCAGAACAUCCUCAUGGUUCA